rfam:Oryza barthii chromosome 11, whole genome shotgun sequence.
AAAAAAUGCAAAUCCUGAAUUUUCGUGCCAACGUUUAACUGUCCGUCUUAUAUAAAAAUUUUUUAUAAUUUAUAUUUUCAUUGUUAUUAGAUAAUAAAACAUGAUUAAUAUUUUAUACGUAACUUAUCUUUUUAAUUUUUUAUAUAAUUAUUUUAAAUAAGACGGACGGUCAAACGUUGGACACGGAAACCAGGGUUUGUCUUUUU